AUGAGAAAUUCUCAAAAUUUAUGGAAUACUCUGCCUGUUAGUGGCAGAAAACAAUACGAAGAUAAAAUCUCCACAACGCUCAAUAAGACAACCCAGUUCUUACGGUAUAAUACAACAGAAGUGUCAGGUAGCCAAUAUGAUGGCUUUUAUUUUAAACGCCAAAUCUAUAGUAAGAAUAAAACAAAUGACAAAAUAAAUUUACAUUUCCACGUAAGCCUUUCAAGAACAAUCAUGUAA